AUGAAAAUCAUCAGUUGGAACUGCCGGGGGCUCGGGAAUGGCCUGGCAGUUCGAUCUCUCCUCGAGUUGGGGAGAGUGGAGGAUCCCGAUGUGCUGUUAUUGGCGGAGACUAGACUCACAGAGAAGGGGUUGGAGAGUUUUCGGUGGAAGCUAGGACUUGCUAACUUGUGUGCAUGGAACCCAGUCGGGAGGAGCCGAGGGGUUGCAAUGUUCUGGCGUCGAGGGCUUGAUGUAUCUCUCCGUUCGUAUGGGAGGAGGCAUGUAGAUGUGGAUGUGAAGGAGGAGGAUGGCUCAGUCUGGCGCUUGACAAGUGUUUAUGGGGAGUCGGCUACGGAGAGAAAGAAAGAAACGUGGAGAAGACUUCGACUUCUCAAGCAGCGACACCAGCAGGAUCGUCCAUGGCUAUGUCUUGGAGACUUCAAUGAAAUUAUGUCCGGUAUAGAGAAGGUGGCACUACUAGGAAAAGGGCUACUAAUGGCGCAUCACUAG
rnacentral:rRNA from 1 species